UUUCUGCCCUUUAGUGCUGAAGUUAACGCAUUAAGCACUCCGCCUGGGGAGUACGGCCGCAAGGCUGAAACUCAAAGGAAUUGACGGGGGCCCGCACAAGCGGUGGAGCAUGUGGUUUAAUUCGAAGCAACGCGAAGAACCUUACCAGGUCUUGACAUCCUCUGAAAACCCUAGAGAUAGGGCUUCUCCUUCGGGAGCAGAGUGACAGGUGGUGCAUGGUUGUCGUCAGCUCGUGUCGUGAGAUGUUGGGUUAAGUCCCGCAACGAGCGCAACCCUUGAUCUUAGUUGCCAUCAUUAAGUUGGSCACUCUAAGGGGACUGCCGGUGACAAACCGGAGGAAGGUGGGGAUGACGUCAAAUCGUCAUGCCCCUUAUGACCUGGGCUACACACGUGCUACAAUGAACGGAACAAAGAGCUGCAAGACCGCGAGGUGGAGCUAAUCUCAUAAAACCGUUCUCAGUUCGGAUUGUAGGUUGCAACUCGCCUACAUGAAGCUGGAAUCGCUAGUAAUCGCGGAUCAGCAUGCCGCGGGGAAUACGUUCCCGGGCCUUGUACACACCGCCCGUCACCCCCCGAGAGUUUGUAACACCCGAAGUCGGUGGGGUAACCUUUAUGGAGCCAGCCGCCUA
rnacentral:rRNA from 1 species